rnacentral:rRNA from 1 species
UACGGGGGGGGCAAGCGUUGUUCGGAAUUACUGGGCGUAAAGGGCUUGUAGGUGGCCAACUAAGUCAGACGUGAAAUCCCUCGGCUUAACCGGGGAACUGCGUCUGAUACUGGAUGGCUAGAGUGUGGGAGAGGGAUGCGGAAUUCCAGGUGUAGCGGUGAAAUGCGUAGAUAUCUGGAGGAACACCGGUGGCGAAGGCGGGUCUCUGGGCAGUAACUGACGCUGAGGAGCGAAAGCGUGGGGAGCGAACAGG